AUCCCGUGCAUCCAGUGAGCGGGCAGUAGUUUCUCCAGCUCCGAAGGCGAUCGGGACACAACCCUUUCAAGGUGCUCGGGUUUCCUGGAUGGUCACCAGAGUGAACUUGGCUGCUAUCUACUUGAGCGUUAGUUUCCUCAUCUGUAAAAUGGGACAAACAUCUAUCUCAUAAGUUUGAAGAAGGAGUAAAUGAAAAAUGUAUGCAAAUUAUCACAUGGUUGUUUGUACUCUAGAAGCCAGGAAAGGACAUCAGGGGAGAAACUGGAAAUUGACUUCAAAAAGCCACAGAUCAGCAAGUCCAGAUGAAGACAAACAGGGCCAACUGAGCAACGUGCCACUGAGAGGACAUGGCCACCUCCAACAGGAGGCACGCAUUUCUAAUGGACUUGCAGAUCGCUGGAGUUUUUAUGGAGAUUGUGUCGACCAUGACCUUUGAGAAGAAGGAGAAACACGGACUAUGAGGAAGAAAAGAUGGACUGCCAGCAGGAGAGGUAGCAGGUCAAUGGAUGGUAUUUUGGAGAAGAGGCUCGGUCAACGGACAUGAGGUUCAGAUGGCAGAGAUUCUGGAAUUUUUCUUAAGACGAGAUCGAAAUGAUAAAACAGAGGGUGAACAAAACGAUUUUAAGUCCAGGGGUUAGUCAGAGGGGGACCGCACGGAGAUAGAGUGACCUGAUAGGAAACACUACAGAAUGUGCCAAUUACCACCUAGGCUGCGACAGGGUUUUGAACUAAAGGAAGGAAUCGGGGUGACAUUUUGGAAAAGUAAAUGUUGCAACUUAAUGAUAGGCAGCAUGUUGCCAGUAAAUGAGAGGGGAAAGAAAAAACCUGCAAGGUUUUAAGCUUGGGAUUGUUGAGGGGACAUGGAAAUAAAGAGAAAAUGGGAAGGACUUUCUGCUUUCGGGAAGAUAUCAUUAUCAGCUCAGUUCUGGCGAGAAAGAAAAAGAUACUGAAGAGGGAUAAGAAGGAAAGAUAAAGACUAGAAGAAAGUACUUGUAAGUUACUAUGUAUACAGGACGUUGUUUGAAACCACGAAUUCACAUGAUUCCUCCUGAGUGGAACAGAAGCAGAAUAUAAACAAGUCUCAAGAUGCACCCACAACUGGACACCAGACAAAAUAGCCAGAGAGGAGAGCAAGAGAAGGAGAGUUUGAGUUACGGAAACUAAUGCUGCAGGAAAGCUCAUUGUGAUUAAAAAUUCUCAAAUACACUCAAGUCAGUCUUGGAAUACUGUCAGUAGACUUUAGAAUACUUCAAAUGACAAGCGAUUUUUCUCCUGUCCUUAUCACAAGAUGCUAGGCAUAUUUUAAGAGGAUUUUUCCUGUUUAAAAACAUAUAAAUUUUUUAAAAAUUAUCACCGGCUAUUCUGUUCUGUGACACUCUUCAAUAAAAUGUAACCAA